GAUGAAGAACGCAGCGAAAUGCGAUACGUAAUGUGAAUUGCAGAAUUCAGUGAAUCAUCGAGUCUUUGAACGCACAUUGCGCCCCCUGGUAUUCCGGGGGGCAUGCCUGUCCGAGCGUCAUUUCAACCCUCAAGCUCUGCUUGGUGUUGGGCCCUGCCCGCUGCGGCCGGCCCUAAAGACAGUGGCGGUGCCGCCUGGCCCUGAGCGUAGUACAUCUCUCGCUCCAGUGCCCGGUGGUAGCCUGCCAGAACCCCAACUCUCGUGGUUGACCUCGGAUCAGGUAGGGAUACCCGCUGAACUUAAGCAUAUCAAUAAGCGGAGGA
rnacentral:misc_RNA from 1 species